AUUGAACGCUGGCGGCAGGCCUAACACAUGCAAGUCGAGCGAGCGGCGGACGGGUGAGUAAUGUCUGGGGAACUGCCUGAUAGAGGGGGAUAACUACUGGAAACGGUAGCUAAUACCGCAUACCAUCAGAUGUGCCCAGAUGGGAUUAGCUAGUAGGUGGGGUAACGGCUCACCUAGGCGACGAUCCCUAGCUGGUCUGAGAGGAUGAACAGCCACACUGGGACUGAGACACGGCCCAGACUCCUACGGGAGGCAGCAGUGGGGAAUAUUGCACAAUGGGCGCAAGCCUGAUGCAGCCAUGCCGCGUGUAUGAAGAAGGCCCUAGGGUUGUAAAGUACUUUCAGUCGGGAGGCGUUACCGGCAGAAGAAGCACCGGCUAACUCCGUGCCAGCAGCCGCGGUAAUAC
rnacentral:rRNA from 1 species